UUAAUACUCCCUCUGUCCCAAAAUUCUUGUCUUAGAUUUAUUUAGAAAUGGAUGUAUCAAAUACUAAAACGUGACUAGAUACAUUCAUAUCUAGACAAAUCUAANNNAAGAAUUUUAGGACGGAGGGAGUAGGUG
rfam:Hordeum vulgare subsp. vulgare, WGS project CAJW01000000 data, contig: morex_contig_63085